UCUGGUUGAUCCCGCCGGAGGUUACUGCUAUCGAGGUUCGACUAAGCCAUGCGAGUCGAAUGUAGCAAUACAUGGCGUACUGCUCAGUAACACGUGGACAACCUACCCUUAGGUCGGGGAUAAACCCGGGAAACUGGGUAUAAUACCCGAUAGUCCUCGGAUGCUGGAAUGCACCGAGGUCUAAAGCUCCGGCGCCUAAGGAUGGGUCUGCGGCCUAUCAGGUAGUAGUGGGUGUAGCGUACCUACUAGCCUACGACGGGUACGGGUUGUGAGAGCAAGAGCCUGGAGAUGGAUUCUGAGACACGAAUCCAGGCCCUACGGGGUGCAGCAGGCGCGAAAACUUUACAAUGCUGGAAACAGCGAUAAGGGGACCUUGAGUGCCAGGUUACAAAUCUGGCUGUCGUGAUGCCUAAAAAGCAUUGCAUAGCAAGGGCCGGGCAAGACCGGUGCCAGCCGCCGCGGUAACACCGGCGGCUCGAGUGGUAACCGCUAUUAUUGGGUCUAAAGGGUCUGUAGCCGGCCGGAUAAGUCUUUUGGGAAAUCUGGCAGCUUAACUGUCAGGCUUCCAGAGGAUACUGUCUGGCUCGAGGCCGGGAGAGGUGGGAGGUACUUCAGGGGUAGGGGUGAAGUCUUGUAAUCCUUGAAGGACCACCAGUGGCGAAGGCGUCUCACCAGAACGGACCUGACGGCAAGGGAC
rnacentral:rRNA from 1 species